rnacentral:rRNA from 1 species
AUGCAUUGGCUAUCAUGGGAGAAACUUGCAUCACCGAAGUGUCAGGGAGGAAUGGGUUUUCGCGAUCUUGAGUUAUUCAACCUGGCACUACUUGGUAAGCAUGGAUGGAGAUUUAUUACUAAUCCUAACUCUUUAUGUGCCCAAGUGAUGAAGGGGCGUUAUUUUCCGGAUUAUAAUUUUAUGGAGGCUUCAGUACCACACACAUCGUCUGCUAUUUGGCGAGCGAUCAUCGCCGGAAGGGAAGCUCUCCAUGUUGGUCUCAUUAAGAGGGUGGGGGACGGCAGCACUAUCUCGAUUUGGGAAGAUAAGUGGAUCCCGGGCCUUUCAUCUCUGUCCCCUACGGUGAUGCCGGGAGGGACGACUCUUGCCACCGUCGGUGAGCUCAUCGACCAUGACAACAGGACGUGGCGCCGGGAA